ensembl:lncRNA
UGUGAACUGAUAAAUAUUUUACUGAUUCAAUGUCCGGGAUGCUGCUAUUGUUAACCUUUCCUCUCUCGUUUUCUAAAGUCCUCUUCAGUCGAGAGAAAAGACAACUGGAUCUUUUUCAGUCCAAACCUUUGAAGUCCUCCACAGACCAGUUUCUCCCUCAGAUCUCUGGAUACUUUCACUUUCCAGGGGAUUUCAUCACCAGCAGGCUCCGCCCCCUUUACUGCCUCAUAUGAUCCUGAUCCGCUUUCAGUUCUAACAAUCGUUUCCCGACCGUCUUCUGAGAAACAACUCCUCCAUCAAGUGAGUCGACUGAGCAAAAAUCUGGUCUUUUGAUUUUCAAUUUGACAGCAACCUUUUUUUUAGGGUUUGAACCUGCAGAAGCUACAAUUGAUCUUUGUUUGAAUUCCAGAUGAACCCUCAGGAUGUCCUCCAUCUUCUUCAGGACGUUGGCGCUGAUGUCUGUGCUUCUGUGUGGAGUCUCUGCAGACGCAGCUAUUUCACUACACUGCAACCAACCAGUGAAUGUUACAUUUGGACAGGUUCUGAAUCUCACGUGUGUCAUUGAAUUGAAACAAGACGACUGUAAAGAUGUUUAUGUUGAGUGGAACGACACAGUAGAGGACCUCUGUGUUAAUAACAGAUUUGGUGCAGUUUGUGGCAAGGCUUCUAAGACUGUGAUUGUGAAGGUCUAUCCUGAUGUGCAUCUAGAUGGAACUGCUAAAACACCUGCCGCUAUUUGGCAAAUUACAACUUCUGAGCAACCAGAGAAGAAUAAAAGGAAUUAUAUCGCGGCGGCUGCCGUCUCUGUGGUCGUUAUUGGAGUUGUUGUAGUUGUUGGAGCGGUUGUGUAUAUGAAAUUCAAAAGGAAGUGCCCACCAUUGUCUUCGACAGCAGAAUCAGAUGCUCUGACAGACGCCGUAUAAAACGAGCUUUUCAGCUCCGAAUGAACUUGUCAAGUUGGCCUGAGGAAAUCAUGUGACUUCCUUCAGCUCCGUCCGGCAGACGACGUCUUCACUUCUCUGCUGCUUCACUAACUCAGUCCAGUGUAGCGCUCCAGUUCAACCGUGUGAAGAACAAAAGAACAAGAGAGAAUAGCGCUCCGAUGUACGAGCAGGACUCAAACGCAUCAUGGAGACAAAACGCUGGCGAGUCCGGUCGGGUCGUCCCCAAAGUCAGGACCGAUUCCUGCAGAACACGAGGAGAAGAUGAUGAAGAAACGGGAUAUUUUAUGGAUCCAGGAUUUCUCUGGAGGUCCAGAGUUUCUCUGUUUUUAUGGAUUCAAGACAAAAUCUACCAAAUUAUUUAUGUUGUGCUAAACAAACUUUUAGUAAAUAUUUGUUUUUUUACAUAUCUUUGUAAAUUAUUUGCAUAAAAUCAACAAGUACCUUAAGUUUUUCCGAUGGCAAAUUAUUUUAAAAUCAUGAAUUUUUCCAUUCCCCGUGAACAAAAACAUGCUGUGAUGAUUUCAUUCAGAUAAACUUGUUGGUUCUGUUUGUUUACAGCAUGUUUGUGUCUGUGAAGCCUUUUAAAUUAAUCUAUGUAAAUAUUUUAUUCUCAGAAGUCCUAAAUAUGAAUUUUUAACCUGCAGGUCAAGGUUUGUGUAUGGGGACGUCAAUGGGUUGCACUGCCCUCUAGUGGUGAAUCUGUGUAACUACACUUUUCUUUUAGAAAACUCUUGUUUGCUCUUCUAAUCUAAUGUAAAUAUGUCUUCUAUUUGUUCUUUUAUAUAUGUACUUCAGCUGCUGCUUUUGUAAUAAAAACAUGUUCAUGUUUGUCCAAUGAAAAGUUGGAGC